AAAUUGCUUGGCAGGUCCUUUGGUUUAGCUUUUCAUGAGUCCAUAGGUGAUAGGCCUCCUCCCAUGAAAUAUCUCUCCCAUCAGUCUGUGGCCACCUUAUUAGUUGGAAGGAUUUGGCAUGCUUCCAGUUAUUAAUAAACGGAGAUUUUCAGUUAUUUAAUAAUUAGAGGCAAGCCAAAUCUUAGUUGAAAACAAUCCGAAGAGGAAGAAGAAGUUGCAAGGGAUGAAAGUCGUGCUCAAGUUUCAUUUUGUCUCUCUAUCAAUGCCAUGUUACGUGAUCGCUUUGUUUGUUAACACUUUCUCAUUAUCCCUCUUGGUUUUUGUUUUUAAAACAAAAACAUUACCAAACAAUUCAAAACAUUAAAAACUAUUUUCUUUUUAUGUCACAUCAGAACACUUUUUCAAACAAAAAGCAUUAACAAACGAACCACAUUAUGUGACAGCACAGUUUGAAAGCCCAAAAUCUUGUUAUUUGCAGUUCAAGUCCUUUGUCCAGCCAUUCUCAUGCAAUCAUUAACUCAAUUUUCACAUUUCAUCAAGAGAGAGCCAUGCUGAGCAAAGAACGAGCAGCUGACAUGUAUAGACUAAAG